rnacentral:lncRNA from 1 species
AGACCAAAAUGGAGGUGAAAAGUGACAUUGCUAGGAACCCAGCACUCGUUAAAAUGUAGUUGAAGGGUCCAGCCUCAACUGCCCGUAAACCUGUCUGGCCUAUCGAUGACAGGAAUCUAACUCAGGUCCUCAUCCUUCAUGGCAGCGUGCGAAAAACAGACUCAGCUGAGCUGCAUCAGAGGACGGCCGUGGCGGAAUUUCCUGUGCUCUUCUAUCUGACUGAAGAAUGAAAACUUAUUUAAAGAUUCAAAAUGUCUCUAGAUUCUCCGUGAGAGGCAGAUGCAGCUGCCAAGACGCUGUCCCCGGUCCUGUGUGGCUUCCACGGCCUUCCCAUCUCCCGAGGCCUCAGCAGCCGCCUUUGCCACGAAUUGCGCUGCACGUUCCUAAUGCCCAAGGCAGAUGCACAAGCGGCUCUGCCUGUCAGCCUGCCACUUGGCUUCUGCUGUCUUCUCUCCUUUGUCUUUCAAAUGGCCGAUAUUAUGAAACUGAAUUCCUGUCACCGACAGAGAAGGGCUCAGCCAGGCCAGCCUCCUGCCUUUUCAAGGACGAGGGGAGCCACUCUUAGGAAAAGGAGCCCAGAGUCCUUCUGCCACGCAUGGCGGGA